rnacentral:misc_RNA from 1 species
CCCUGUCCCUCCUUCCCACCACAAUCCAAGCGAGCUUGACGUAGGCGAUCGCACCACUGCCGUCGCACAGCCGCCUCAGCCCUCGUGCACAUGUGGGUGUAUUCGCGCGUGUGCGCGUGUGUCUCUCAGCGUUUGCAGGCGUGUAUGGACGGAUUCGAUAUGAAAACAAAUCAACACUCAAGUAGACCCGACGAGGGCGAAGGACAUCGUGAUGGAGGGCGCGGCAGCAGCAGACCUCAGCUCCCUUGCCCCUUGCCCCGCUUCCUUACCAGUGACGCACGCGCGUACCCGCGCCACGACAUGUCCUCGAAAAGCUCUAUGAGGCGUGAAGAGUGAAGGGCAGAGGAAGAGGACGCGCAAACCAGUGCUUCCGAGCAGACAUUCCAGCGCCCCCUCAUUCUCGGCCUCGCCUACCUCCUCGACAACUGCAGCGUGGUGGGGCGGGCGAGGAGCGCCACCAAAUCUCUCCACGACGCGGCGAACAGCGAGCGGAGCAGCUACACACACUCUCAGGCAGACGCGCGUUCGCGCGUGUAGGUGUGUCGUUUUGCGUAUCCACACUGCUCAGCAGCAGUUCUGUGGCGUACGGGCUGCGCUCUUUCCCCCUCCUCUUACAAUCUGCAAGAUCGGUGCGACUCACACGGUAUACGGCGAAUCAGUGCCACACACGAGCCACUCCCACCUCCCUCUCCUUGCGGACGUGAGGAGUGUGCAGGCGUUCGCACAAGCACGAUCUCGACGGGUGAGCGUUGAUGUGCACCUUCUGGGACUGAUACGAGCGGGCAGGGAAUAGAGCUGGAGAGAUAGCGAGAGGUGAUUUGUGGAGUGCGGUGGGCUGAUUGACACCUAUCUGAUGCCUUCUUUCUCUGCUCGCACACAUAAGGGCGAAGAAGAGGCUGGUUCUCGCGUGGUGCGCCGCUCCGACGUGUCAGCGCCAUGCUACGGCCUGCAAGCGCCCCCACACCUUCCGCUUCCCUUUUCUUCUCACCUUCUCUUGACUUUCCAUUCACGGUAUAUAUAUAUAUAUAUAUAUAUUUCGUUGCUGCGUAG